UUAACAGACUAGGAUAGUCCUACAUAGACCUUUUAGUUGCAUGUUAGGUCGACGAUCACUAAAAUCCGACUUGCAACCAUUAGACGAAGAAUUAGAAAAAACUCUUAGGACUAUCCAAGUUAAAAAUAUGGCUGCACCUGAUGAGGCUAAUCCUCCACGCUCAUUGAGAGAAUAUUUCACUCCAUCCUCGUAUACCUACUCUCCAUACAUUCAAGCACCUCCAGUAGAAGCUACCCAAUAUGAGAUUAAGUCUAGCAUUAUUCAAAUGUUGCCAUCAUUCUAUGGACUUAGUAACGAGGACCCAUACAAACACUUGGAUG
rnacentral:lncRNA from 1 species